AACCGCCUUUCCUCGACACUGUGCAGCUAUUGGCUGAAGAAGUUUGACAUGACAAGCCGGCGCACUGCUGAAAGUUUUCCUCUUUUCGACUGCAAAAAAACAUACAGCGUUUCCGAUUUAUUUUGCGACUACAAAACUAUCAUGGUGCAGUGUAGAGGUCUUUCUGAGGCCCUGCGUGGUGUCAGGUGGAAGAGGCUAUUGUUCGCUUGCACUUCGGUCUAUUUGAACAGUCUGACAGUCUUUGCAUAAGGAGCCUAAGAUGCUCGAGAGUCAUUUAUAUCUGUUUCCUGUUUACCCAAUGGACCAUUUUCACCGGCUUCUAUCGCUAUUUGAUUUGCACUUUCUCGUCUAAGCAUGCAUUUUUCUUCUACAUGGAUCACUUUACACUCUAUAGGCACAAACAGGACUGACACCAUUAAACGGCUUUGCAGGUUAACACCUCUCAAAGGUUGACUGCUCCUGUAACUUAAAUCCAGCAGUAAUGAGGAGGACAGCAGGUUAACGACGUGUGUACGGCGGUUUGCGGGGCCAACUCGCUUUUUCUCUUCAGACACACAAAAGCAGCAAUAUUUACUACUCUUUUAUACAUCGAUCACACUGACAGCUUUUAGUCAAACCACAUGGGCUUCAUUAGUCUUAAAUAUUACAUUCCACAACAAUAUACCUGUCUAAAAACAAAAUAAUAUUACAUAAAUAAAAC